GAUGAACGCUGGCGGCGUGCCUAAUACAUGCAAGUCGAGCGAAGCGGGGCCGGGUGAGUAACACGUGGAUAACCUCCUAUAAGACUGGGAUAACUUCGGGAAACCGGAGCUAAACCGGAUACUUAUAGAUGGAUCCGCGCUGCAUUAACUAGUUGGUAAGGUAACGGCUUACCAAGGCAACGAUGAAUAGCCGACCUGAGAGGGGUACCACCCCCCCUGAAACUGAGACACGGUCCAGACCCCACCCACAACCACCAUUACAAAAUCUUCCGCAAUGAUCGAAAGCCUGACUGAGCAACGCCGCGUGAGUGAGGAAUUUGUUCGGAUCCUAACCCUCUGUUAUUAGGGAAGCGGUACCUAAUCAGAAAGCCACGGCUAACUACGUGCCAGCAGCCGCGGUAAUAC
rnacentral:rRNA from 1 species